GAUGGACGCUAGCGGCAGGCCUAACACAUGCAAGUCGAGGGGUAACAGAGAAAAGCUUGCUUUUCUGCUGACGACCGGCGCACGGGUGCGUAACGCGUAUGCAACCUACCUUCAACUGGAAGAUAGCCCCGAGAAAUCGGGAUUAAUAUUCCAUAAUAUAACUGAAUCGAUUGUUUCUGGUUAUUAAAGCUCCGGCGGUUGAAGAUGGGCAUGCGUCCCAUUAGUUAGUUGGUGAGGUAACGGCUCACCAAGACUCCGAUGGGUAGGGGGCCUGAGAGGGUGACCCCCCACACUGGUACUGAGACACGGACCAG
rnacentral:rRNA from 1 species